rnacentral:tRNA from 1 species
GAAAUAUAGAGCAAAAUUUAAAGCUGCUAACUUUAAAAAUAGCGGUUAAACCCCGUUAAUAUUUCU